rnacentral:misc_RNA from 1 species
CGGUCAACCUCCAGCAAGGGUAUGCAAGCAUUUUUGCUAAUUUAGGCCCAUGGCGGAUGAGACAUGGAGCGUUAAAUUUGCUAAACAAAAGUGUAUAGAACUGUUUAUUAGAAUCGCAGAACUUGAAUUCACCUUAAUCGGAGAGCUCAGCGUCCUAGCACUUCAUAUUUUCAUUUGAGGAGUUCACUUCCCAUAACAGUAAUUGCAAUUAUCCAGUGUUUAUCAAAUCUUAAUUCUCCAAUUUUUUAUCCUUGAUGUUAACGCUUUAGCCAAGAUCAUAUGCAGAAGUACGCUUAAUUUUGAGAAUUAUCAAAUGGAUCCUCUAGAUUAAACGGCGUGAGAUUUGUUUCUGUCUGUCGUCGGUCUAGAUUCUAACAUGUCCUUUCGUUGUGGAUCAGAAUCCGACAGUCGCAACGCGAGAUCGUA